GUAAACAGAUAACGUGGAUGCUUCUAAACCAGGAAAGACGAACGCUUGCAGUUCCAAGCCUGCCUACUCAGUUGUAAUCCGUUUUCUUUAUAGCGAUAAAACGUUUUACUCGGAUAUUAUUACUGAUAACGCUGUAAAAUCGACUGUUAGUAGUCGAUGACAUGUCAAUAUACAAUAAUGUAUAAAACUACUUUAGGGUAAAAUAACCGCGUACAAAAAAAUAAGUUUCGUAGGCAUAUAACGUUCUUUGAGCAAUACCUUUAGGUUUUAAUAAGAGAACUUAGAUUGAAUGGAAUUGAUUUUCAACUGUCCGUGUCGGAAAACGCUAAUACAGUACAAACAGUGCUAUAUAGUGAUAAAUAGUGAUAGACAGUGCAACAUUUCGUUAGUCCUAGGAAAAUAUUUUGGUUUUUUAGAUAGCCCACACCAAAUUACUUCAACUGUUAUAUAGAUACAGUGCAGGAUUGUUGCAAUGAGUUUAUAAAACAUAUGUUCACCAAUAUCCACGAGUUACUUUACGUAAGGCUGUUAUGGACAAGAACCGAGACUUGGAAUUGCCCAUUUGUUGGUA